AAAACAGAUCAAAUCUCAAAAAGAAAACACUCCCAUGAUGACAUCCAUCUUCACCUUCCAACUCACUUGAAAGCUCUCAUUCACCAGCGCACACACUCUUCUUUAUCCGAACUUACCUCUGUAGUUCUCUCUAUCAACCUUCUCAUACCUAAAACCCAGGCCAAGAAAGCAAGAGCAAGACUGGAGAAAGCAAAAGCUCCCCAACAAGCAAAAACAAAACAGAAGUAGAGUAAACAAGAAAGGAAGCAAUACAACAGUAGCUUGUAGAGAGUCAAAGACAUCCAUUUCUCCAUCAUGGGCUGUUAUGCUUCAAGACCAAAUACCCUCCUCACAGAGAACCACCAUCCUGAAGAAACCUUAUCUUAUGCUUCUCCUGCUAAAGAUAAAUCUAUGUUUUCUCCACAAUAUUCUUCACAAUCAGUCCCUAGAGCUUUCUCUUUUCGAACCCCAUUGGUCCACCAUCCACCUUCAAGGAAAGGUGACUCUCACCACCUCGUGUCUCUAACUUCCUCCACUUAUGGCUCUCUUGUCCUCGUUGACCCCAAAAAGAACACCCCAAAACCCUUUGAUCAGCCACAAUCACCAAGAAAAUCAACCAAAAAGAUACAUAAAGCACAAAAUAAUCGAGACCCUUGUGAGCCUUUAUCCCCUGAUUCUGUCAUUAACACUUGGGAGCUCAUGGAUGGUCUUGAUGAGGAUGAUGGCCUUGAUUUUGAAAUCAAUUACUCUUUUAAGCCAAGAUCAUCACAUUCUGAUUGUGCUAUCGAGUUUACCUCCAAAGCCAGUUCUCUUCAUCAUCCGGGUUCUGAUGGGUGUGUGAAAAAGCUACAUGCUUCCUGUGAUUCGGUGAAAUUUGAAGUAGUUGCUGAAAAGCCAGUUUCAUUGUCAAAGCCAUUAUGGAAGCACUUUUCUGAGGAAUCAUUGCUUUCAAAGAUGGAUCCCAAUGUAGCAGCAAGUUAUACGCGUGCAUUGUCAUCAAGGCAAUUGGGGUGUCACAAAGAGUCCAAGGAUGCAACACCAGUGGAAUCUAGUCCCAUGAGUUGUACUUUAUCAAGUAAACAUGGGAACUUUUUGAAUGACAAAAAAGGCAAAAUUGUUCUGUAUUUUACAAGUUUGAGAGGAAUAAGAAAAACAUAUGAGGAUUGCUGUGCGGUUAGAAUGAUAUUCAGAGGUUUCAGAGUUGCAGUUGAUGAAAGAGAUAUUUCAAUGGAUUCUACCUAUAAAAAAGAGCUGCAAAGUUUGCUAAAAGGGAAACCAAUGAGCCUUCCACAAGUUUUUUUUAGAGGAAAUCAUAUUGGCGGGGUGGAAGAAAUCAGGCAGCUAAAUGAAGCUGGUGUAUUGGCAAAGCUGUUAGAAGGUCUUCCUGUUCUAGAUCCCACGUUGGUUUGCGAGACUUGUGGGGAUGCAAGGUUUGUGCCAUGUCCAAAUUGUAGUGGAAGUAAAAAAGUAUUUGAUGAAGAACAAGAGCAAUUGAGAAGGUGCCCAGAUUGCAAUGAGAAUGGUCCGUUGGUCCACAAAAUUGAUGCUGCCACGUGCAGAUUGAAUGACUGGUAAAGAUGGAAGCAUGGAUUCUUCUCUGCCAAUACCUGAAGAAAGUCUUCAAAACAAAAAGGCCAUACCAGUGGUUCAGAAUAGCAAAUGAUGAACCAAUCUCAGAUAAGCCUGCUUGCUGCAUGAUAUCAGUGAGAAGAAAAACAGACUGUCCCAUGAUGUCCAUUUUCCCAGGUAUUGUAUUUCAUCUCCUAUGCCUUGAUGUUUGAACUUGGACUAGAUUUUGAGCUAGGGCUGCAACUGCCUUCAAAAUCUCAAUCUUCCAAACUGAAAAUCCAGAGAUGCAGCCAAAACAGGCAUGAGGAAUCCUUUGACAGCAUCAUAGAUGAGAAACUACCCCAGCUAGCACAAGACCAAAGUUACAACGACAGUGUAUCCCAGCGCAUAUAAUCCCGGAGUACACUUCGUAUUCGUAUCAUGUUGGCCUCCGCACGCCUUCAUGUGGCUAUGGCAGCGGGACAUAUCAAGAGAGAUUCUUCUCCGGGCGGGAAGCUCUGGUCCCCGGGCAGGAGAAAGACGGCGCCGUUCUAAUCACCUGGAGGAACCAUGUUAGAACAAUGCCAGAUUAGAAUCCUGGGUCGUCCUAUGACCUUUUCCACACCCACUACAAGAAUAAAUCAUAAAUGCAUUAAAUGCUGCAUGUCCCUGAAGCAUAUGUCUCCAUGCGCAGGGCAUCUCCUGGAUUGAGUUGGGCGCAAUUCUCAUUUAUUGGACACUGUCCAUGACAUAAGCAUUCACUCCCAUCGGUAAUCCACAACUCCUAGAUAAGAGAUUUUGUAUUCAGAGGUAGUUUGGAGCUAUUGUUCAAUUUAUUUUUAUAAAAAAUUUAAUUUUUUAAUA